AUGACAUAUGAAUAUGUGCUUAUGAUUCAUUUUACUAAUAUUAUAAAAUAUAUAAACACAGAUCUAAAUCUAAGGGAUUUCAUCCUAUAAAUGUAGUCAUAUAAACACAGAUCUAAAUCUAAGGGAUUUCAUCCUAUAAAUGUAGUCAUAACACAAUAUAACAAUAACAAUAUAGAUUAACAACACAAGUUUAUUGUAUGGAUGAUAACUGUCUAGUUCAAUGGAGUAUAAUGAGGAAUCUUUAGAAAUGGAACAGUGUACUCAUGUUAAAUAAGGUAUAAACUUUAUAAGUCCUUUCCUCAAAAUAUCACAACAAAGUAUUUGACAUUACAAUAAUACAAGAAUGAUUACUUCCCUUUGCUAAAAAGUAGGCUUUUUUGCAGGAAUACAAAAGGGAUCAAAAGAAAGAACUCACUUUUUUUUAAUUACAGGGAACAAGUCCAACUUCUUAACAAGAGGCUCUCAAGA
rnacentral:lncRNA from 1 species